rnacentral:rRNA from 1 species
GUCCUACGGGGGGCAGCAGUGGGGAAUAUUGGGCAAUGGGCGAAAGCCUGACCCAGCAACGCCGCGUGAAGGAAGAAGGCUUUCGGGUUGUAAACUUCUUUUGACAGGGAAGAGCAGAAGACGGUACCUGUCGAAUAAGCCACGGCUAACUACGUGCCAGCAGCCGCGGUAAUACGUAGGUGGCAAGCGUUGUCCGGAUUUACUGGGUGUAAAGGGCGUGUAGCCGGGCUGACAAGUCAGAUGUGAAAUCCGGGGGCUCAACUCAUAGCCUGCAUUUGAAACUGUAUUUCUUGAGUGCUGGAGAG